ACCUCGGCCAGAAUACUUGAGGGGUUAUCUGCCUCCAGCCAUUGGAAAUCUAACUCGCUUGCAGUACUUGAGCUUGGGCAUCAAUCGUUAUCAGGGGAGCUUCCCAAGGAAUUGGGAGAUCUUACCGAGUUAAUAUCACUGGCUCUUGGAGCAAACAACUUC